GAACCGCCGCGAAAGCAUUCGGCAAGGACGCUUUUCAUUAAUCAAGAACGAAAGUCGGGGGGAUCGAAGACGAUCAGAUACCGUCGUAGUCCCGACCGUAAACGAUGCCGACCGAGGGCCCGGAGGAGUUACGUACGACCCUCCGGGCCCUCCCGCGAGAAAUCAGGAGUAUUCGGGUUCCGGGGGGAGUAUGGUCGCAAGGCCGAAACUUAAAGGAAUUGACGGAAGGGCACCACCAGGAGUGGAAUCUGCGGCUUAAUUUGACCCAACGCGGGAAAACUCACCAGGUCAGGACACGGUAAGGAUUGACGGACUGAAGGCUCUUUCUCGAUUCCGUGGAAAGUGGUGCAUGGCCGUUUUUGGUUGGUGGAUCGAUCCGUCUGGUUAAUUCCGUUAACGAACGAGACCUCGGCACUCCGAAUAGCGCGGCGGACGUCGCGGCCUCCGGGCCGUCUUCCGCACGAGCUUCUUAGAGGGACCGUCCCCCGCCGGGGAGGAGGUGCGAGGCAACGACAGGUCUGUGAUGCCCUUAGAUGUUCUGGG
rnacentral:rRNA from 1 species